rnacentral:rRNA from 1 species
GGGGGCUUAACGCUAUUAUAUACUUGAUCUUGAUAUCCUACGUGGAUAACUGUGGUAAUUCUAGAGCUAAUACAUGCACCAAAGCUCCAAAUUUUUGACGAGCGCAUCUAUAAAAUUAAAACCAAUCGGGUUUCGGCCCGUUUGUUGGUGACUCUGAAUAACUAUGGCUAGUCGCAGUGGCUUGAACCGGAAUCUUCACAUGUGACGAUAUGCAACAGGUAAAGGGGAUUUUCACAAGCAGUGGUUCAGGAAGGUAGUCGCAGUGGCUUUGAACCGGAUUCCUUUUUCCCUUAGAGUCCACCUGAGCAAAUCUGCCAUCAUCUUAUGAAGGCAGCUAGGACAUUAAAAACCACUCUAUCCAUGCAUUGGUCUGAUGAGGAUUAACCAACCCCCUUCUCCUUUCCCUCCCGUGCAUAAGUAUUGGUACCGCAUUGACCCGCUUUCACCCCAUAACACCGAACCGCGCAUUCCUGAUGUCAUCAUCCGGGGGUAACCCGAUCCCUCCUAAACUGUAUCAUAUUGAUGAGACAUAAAGAUAAAUGAACUCAUUUCUAUUCCCAAGUGGGCGCAGGUCCGCCCACUGGGUGAGAACUGGGGCUCCUGGGGCUAGUUCUGUCUGGUUUUUUCCCUACGUUGCCCUUCAUCGGUAGCGUAGGGGUGGGCUAGCGAGUUUUACUUUUGAGAAAAAUUUACAGGUGCCUUCCGGCGCGGCUUUAUGUCUUGAAUUACUCCGUGCAAGGAAUAGUAGAAUAGGAUCUCCGGCCUCUAUCUUGGUUGGGUUUUCUUGAUCCUGGAGAUAAUGGGUUUAUUAGGGAACGGAACCGGUGUCCAUCUCGUAUACGUCUUCGUGAAGAGGUCAAAUACUUGGAUCCGUGACGAGACGAUCGCAAUGGCAAUGCCACUUGCUAUAAUAUCUCAGUUAUCAGAACGAAACGUCGAAGGUUGGCAGCGAAUCGUCGAAUCAGUCGUACGUC